UCCUGGCCAGGGCAGUUACCAGGACGGUCUCCGGAGGCCGGGAUUCGCGGAGGGUCCAGCAGCAGGAAGAAACCCCAGGAGGAAGAAACCUCAGACAGAUCGCCGGCGAGGCAGCGCGGGAUCCCAGCCUCAGGCGUGCGCGGACGGUGUGCGGCCUCUCCCCGCGUCUCUGCCUGGGUCGUGUGGCCGGUUGGCAGUCGUCGUCCCGGCGGUUCCAGUUUGGGGGUCUGUGAAGGCCUGGGCAACGUGGGCAUCGGCGUCGGACCCGCAGGGGUUUUCAUCCCCUCCCCAUCCGGAGCAGCCUCUUUGCUAGGCUGGAUCCAGACGAGCGCUCCCCAAC
rnacentral:lncRNA from 1 species